UACGUAGGUGGCGAGCGUUGUCCGGAUUUACUGGGCGUAAAGAGCGCGCAGGCGGCUGGGCAAGUCCGAUGUGAAAGCUUCCGGCUUAACUGGAAAAUUGCAUCGGAAACUGCUCGGCUUGAAGGUGGGAGAGGGUAGCGGAAUUCCCGGUGUAGUGGUGAAAUGCGUAGAUAUCGGGAGGAACACCAGUGGCGAAGGCGGCUACCUGGCCCACCUCUUGACGCUGAGGCGCGAAAAGCUAGGGGAGCAAACGGGG
rnacentral:rRNA from 1 species